AGGGCACCACCAGGAGUGGAGCCUGCGGCUUAAUUUGACUCAACACGGGGAAACUUACCCGGCCUGGACACUGGAAGGAUUGACAGAUUGAGAGCUCUUUCUUGAUUCAGUGGGUGGUGGUGCAUGGCCGUUCUUAGUUGGUGGAGCGAUUUGUCUGGUUAAUUCCGAUAACGAACGAGACUCUAGCCUAUUAAAUAGGCUCUCGGCUUUUAAACGCCGGGAGGACUUCUUAGAGGGACAGGUGGCGGUUCAGCCGCACGAAAGAGAGCAAUAACAGGUCUGUGAUGCCCUUUGUUGUCCGGGGCCGCACGCGCGCUACACUGAAGAGAUCAGCGUGCUUUACGUUCCUGCUCCGACCGGAGUGGGGAACCCAGUGAACCUUCUUCGUGAUUGGGAUAGAAGAUUGUAAUUAUUCUUCUUGAACGAGGAAUUCCCAGUAAACGCGAGUCAUAAGCUCGCGUUGAUUACGUCCCUGCCCUUUGUACACACCGCCCGUCGCUACUACCGAUUGAAUGUUUU
rnacentral:rRNA from 1 species